AUACCUUUCUCGGCUUUUUGGCUAAGAUAAAGUGUAGUAUCUGUUCCUGUAACUAAAGCUGUUGGGGCAUGCCUAUUGAUCUUAAAUCAAAUAUGUUGUUUAAUUAUGCAUAUUUUGAGGGGGAGGGGCCACUACAGUAGCUUGCUACUGUGCCUCUCGUGUGUCGCCCAAGCCUUACACUACAGCUAGGGGUGCACAUGGUCG